rnacentral:rRNA from 1 species
GAUGAACGCUAGCUACAGGCUUAACACAUGCAAGUCGAGGGGUAACAAGAGGAAAGCUUGCUUUUCUUGUUGACGACCGGCGCACGGGUGAGUAACGCGUAUCCAACCUGCCUAUAACUAGGGAAUAACCUUGCGAAAGUAAGACUAAUACCAUAUGAUUUCCUUUGAUGACAUCAGAUUAGGAAUAAAGAUUUAUCGGUUAUAGAUGGGGAUGCGUCUGAUUAGCUUGUUGGCGGGGUAACGGCCCACCAAGGCAACGAUCAGUAGGGGUUUUGAGAGGAAGGUCCCCCACAUUGGAACUGAGACACGGUCCAAACUCCUACGGGAGGCAGCAGUGAGGAAUAUUGGUCAAUGGGCGGAAGCCUGAACCAGCCAAGUAGCGUGCAGGAUGACGGCCCUAUGGGUUGUAAACUGCUUUUAUACAGGAAUAAAGUUAGCCACGUGUGGUUAUUUGUAGGUACUGUAUGAAUAAGGACCGGCUAAUUCCGUGCCAGCCGCCGCUGUAAAAC